rnacentral:rRNA from 1 species
CACGUAGGGGGCGAGCGUUGUCCGGAAUUACUGGGCGUAAAGGGCGCGCAGGCUGUUAUGCGAGUCUGCUGUGAAAUGUACCGGCUCAACCGGUGCCUUGCGGCGGAUACUGCAUAGCUGGAGUACUGGAGAGGGAAGUGGGAUUCCAGGUGUAGCGGUGAAAUGCGUAGAUAUCGGGAGGAACACCGGUGGCGAAGGCGGCUUUCUGGCCAGUUACUGACGCUCAUGCGCGAAAGCUGGGGUAGCGAACCGGAUUAGAUA